AUUUAUAUAAUAUAAAUAAAGUAUAUUUGACUUCCAAUCAAAAAGUUUAAAAAUUUUAAUAUAAAUA
rnacentral:tRNA from 1 species